UCCAAACAUAUUCCUGGGAGUCAAUAGGUGGGACUUUCCAUCUUGCAAUACCUGAAGUGAGAGAACAUGAUGAAGUCCUCUGAGACGAUGUAGAAUCGGAUGAUUAUGCGUAUUGUUAACAACAGGAGAAAUACAUGCGCACUUACUUCAAGUUGUGAAUAAAAGUUCCUAGAAUAUAAUCAAAGAUCCAUUCCUAUGGUAUCAACAUUAAAACACUGAUAAAUAUCAUCAAAACUUGGUAUCAUGAUGAAAUACAGUAACAUUUUUCUUUGUUUUCUUUGUUAACAUACAUAUUCUGAAUAUCAAUUACGUACACUGCGAUCUUUUGGCUUGUGUUCUUCAGAAUAAAACCAUUACUGCUAUAAGAUCAAGGAAUUUGGGAAAAAUCUAUAUUCCUCUUAUUUCAUCUGAAAGAAUAAAACAAAAAAAGAAGUGAAAAGCCUAUGAAUUAUAAACAGGCUGAUAUUUUUUAUUUUACAGAUUCUGCCAGAUGGAGACAUCCCUAGUAAGCGUAAAACCUAGAGUGGUUCAUCCUCAGUAUCCAAAUCAGACAAGAAAAUUUAAUAAACCAAAACAACACAUUAAUGAAUUUCGACGCACAAAUUAAAAUUGUAUAGCCCCAAGUAUCUCUCUAUUUUCAAUUAACAUAACAGAAGAAGGACAUCAUUGAUAAACGAAACAGAAGAAAGUGUAAAGAGCAACAUACAGACAAAGCAGAGGAGCUAACCAAGGCGAAACCCACAGGUGUGGGCUAAUCUGGAAGAAAGAAGCUAUAGCGAUUUGCGAAAACGAUUAGUAGCAUCGACGGAAACGACAAUUUAGGAAAUCAAAACGGGUGUAGUUAGCCAUCGCCAAAGAGAAGAUUCUGAAGAAAAAGAUGAACGGGGUAAAUGAUAAAAGUAAAAAAAAAAAUCAAUUGAUCUAGGCAUAUCAUCAAACAUUCUCCGUGCAUCAGUGUUAUAAUACGAGGCUUGCAUGUGAAACUCCGGCAACAAAAUGUCCCAAAGAACAUAGGAAGAACCAGAUGCUCAACAAAAUCCCGUUAGCAGCAGGGUACAUAAAAGAAAAGAAGCAACAAGAAGUAUAGAAAAAUUCGCCACGACAAUAAUGCACAUACCAAAGACAACAUAAAUCUGGAAUUGAGAAAUUUAGGCAUAUUGAAAAGAAAUCGUCAGAUCCCAUUAGUAAUUAAAAGGUAUAAAAAGAUCAAGACUAAAUUUACAGUGCCAACCAGGAUAAAUUAACUUCAUUAAGGAAGACAUGCAACAGAGAAUACCAUUCAGUCAAAAUCACAAAACAGUAAACCCAGAUUCAUAUCAAGGUAUAACGAAGACAUGCAACAGAGAAUACUAUUCAGUUAAAAUCACAAAACAGUAAACCCAGAAAUUUACAUUGAUAAUUGAAACAUAGACAUGGCUAAAGGAACAGAAGAAAUCGAAAAUUAACCUUUGAAAUCCACCAAAAAUAAAGCAAAAAAAAAAAGAAAGAGGACGAAGAAGAAGAACCCAUAGGGAGAGCUGAGCAAAGAAACCAAAAGGUUCUCCUCUCAAAUUCAAUAGCUUCCGAAGAAAAAAGUGAAGGUUUAAUAGAUGAGAAAGAGCAAUUUCAAGCAAAAUCAGUCGAGAAGGAGAACUAAGAAUCGGAUUCGUUUAUGCUAAUGAAGAAAUUGUAAAAAUAUCGAGUAGCUUCUGGUACUCAAUACUCGAUCAAGGAAGGAAAGGAUGUAAUU
rnacentral:lncRNA from 1 species